GUCCUCAAUAAUGUUAAAAUCAUUAGCCCGAAUAUAUGUACUAUCGGAUCGUCCAUCCGGUGCCAUGGUAUCGAUGGGGUGUUAAACCCUGAAAGUAAUAUAUCUCUACAUACUUGCUCUAACACCAUGGUUCUUGUACCACCACCACCUUCUUCAGUGGCCCCACCACCUCUAUUGCCACCACCACCUCCAUCACCAGUCCCAUUUUUUUCUUCCCCUGAAGAUGAUUUUCCGGUGCCUGCCCCAUUACCUGCUGAUAGUAGCCAACAUAUUUCUGGGUCUUCAAAGUUAUCAUUAGGUAGAAAAGUGUUGAAAUCAAUGGCUACCAUUUUGGUACCUCUAAUGAUUGGUGUUUCCAUUUGAAAAGUUGAUAAGUAUUUGGUGAAAUUGUUGGCAAUAGUUUUAAGAUUAAAUGUUUGAAAAUUAAUGCAUAUGUAUGUGAGCAAUAUUCUAGUAAACCUUAUUUCAAUUUAUUGUGUAUUUUUUUUUUACAAUAACUUGUACGAGUUAUCUCGAGUUAGUAGAGGAACUAAUUGAACAUAUAUAAUUAGAGCUCAAAUAAUUUGUAAUUAAGUUUCGGCUCUCCACUUA
rnacentral:lncRNA from 1 species